rnacentral:tRNA from 1 species
ACACCGAUGGUGAAGCGGUUAUCAUGCUUGCCUUCCAAUGCUCACGUGCAUGAGGUAGCAAGCGGCACGGGUUCGACUCCCGUUCGGUGUA